UUGGAAGUGAUGAUCCUUUCCCCAGAUGAUCGACUCUGAUUAUACUGAGCUUUUGAUUAUUCUUCUCUUUGGAGAAGAUCCAAGCCAGAAACCUGAUCCAU
rnacentral:snoRNA from 1 species